AGGCACUAUAUUUAUACCCCUCCGCACCCCAAGCUCCUCCCCCACUCCUCUCCUUCUUCUCCUAGCUAGCUCCAUAGUGUUCUACUUUUUAACUCUUCUAGGAGGUUGGGCUUCCAUUCUUUAUUCUUCUUUUUUAAUCAUAACUUGAGUUUCUUUUGCUUCUGUUCACUCCUUUUCUUCUGUUCCUUUGGGCUUUUAACCAAUACAGGUCUUCUCCGUCUUCCUUUUCCUAGUGGUAGACUCUGUUGAACGAGCAAGUCCUUUUACAUAAUCCCACAGUUCCUUUUUUUUUUUUGCCCCUCCACUUUUUGUGUUCUAGUGUUAGGGUUAGGGUUAGGACUAGGGGUAUUAGGGUUCUUUAUAGCUGAUGAUGACUGAAGAAGAUGCUAAUGGAAAGCAGGCUUAUUAAUAUGUGGAAGCAUCACCAGUCACUGUUUGCUGCUGUGGCAUCAUCAAGAUUCACAAGCUCUUGUUUGUAAUGCUCCGCUCCAUUCUGAGGAUUAAUUUUCAUGCUCAGAAGAGAGGUUGAAAGAGAGAUGGGAAUCUUGAUGAUGCUGCAUCGGCAAUAAAUGACUAUUUCCGAUAUCUCCAAGCAAAGCUUCCAAGUUAAUGAUAGACGAGAAGGAGAAAAAAAAGGAGAGAUCUGCACAGGUUAAAACCCAAACUCCUUUUCUUGCCUUCUAUUUUCCCAGGAUAGAGAUUUUCUUCUCGAGGCUUAUUUUCUUCUCUAUUUGAAUAUUAUAGUAUUUUAAUAUUAUUGUAUAAGAGCAGUGACCAGUGCAUCAACCAAGAUCAUGAGUAGGUUGCUACGGUCGCCGUCGGGAACUGUUAAUAUAAGCUGUACGUGGUGGAAUAUUAUGGGCACAACGAGACGCAUACGUUACGAGAGCAUCCUUUGUUCCAGGGUCUCUGGUUCGUGCAUGGACUUUGAAAUAAAGUAUGCCUUACUUACCAGAAAAAAUAAAGUAUGCUUCUUCUCUCUCUCUCUCUCUCUCUGAGGUAGAAGCAGCAUUGCUGGGUUCAUGCAUCAGAAAAAGUGGUCUCAUAAGCAAUCAUUCCUUGGGAUCCCGGAUCCCAGAAUCAGGGGCUUCUUGUCUGCUUGUUUCUGAAGGUGCUUUGGCAUGUUCUAUUGCUUGGAGACUUUCCCAUGCCUCCAAAAGUCGGAUGUAAUCUCGCCAUACCAUACCUGCAUCACGUAUUUGUUAGUCAGACAUUACCAGAGAGAGAGAUUUUAUCUGAUACUAUAAUUACAUCAUCCAUGUGUGCAUUCUUUGGCAGAAGAGCGCGACUGGCAUUACUAGCAAGAUUUCAAACAAUUUGGGCCACAAAAAAAGCUCGUCAAUUGCCUUCAAGUACUUGGGACACUCGUCUGGUGGGGCAAUAAUCGAUUCCAUCUAUCCACUGAUUUCAUCUUAUAGUAAAUGUCUAAUCUAACAACUUAUGCUCUGGCGCAUGUUCAUGAAUUAAGCACUUUCUGGUAUUUUGAUCAAUAUCUUACUAGUCAUGCUUAAUUAAAACUCAUCUUCUUUUAUAGCAAGCAAUUUCAUCUUUACUCAGAAAUAUUCCACCUACGAUGAGUCUCUUGUUCCAAGUAAUAUUACAGGUAGUGUGCUAGAAGUUGGCUUUUAUCUGACAGUGUUAAUUAAUUAUAAUUACAUCACCUUUGCUUACAUUCUUUUGUCCAAAUAUAUAUCCACUGGCAGCAAUUAAUAUUGUAGUUCUAUAAUAUUGUAUGUUUUGACUUUUGAGACUUUGGACCACCAAAGCUGUUAGAUACAAAUACUAGGGGAUACUUGUGGCGUGGCAAUGGAUUCCAUCAGUGCACUGAUGAACUUUAUAAGACCCCUGAUCAUACUAGUUGCUCUUAGAUACUAUAUAUUUUAUCAGUCCUUCUUCAUUAAAUUUAUGUUUUCUACUGCCUGUGGAAUUCCUAUUUGUUAUGCAUUCAGACCUGCUUUAGAAAGAAAAACAAAACUUUCUUUCAGAACCUAUUUAAAAAAAUUUCAUCUAUCUGAAUUUUUUGCAUCAUUUUGUUGUCAGCAAUAUGCAUUUCUUCUUAAAUGCUUUGCGGGAGCAGAGAUCAAGUCACCCAUUUCCAACACUUGUGCCGAAGCUCAAGUGAGUGUUAAAUGAUGGAGAGAACCUAUCCACUAUUAAAUGUUUGAAGCAUGAGAUAGUUUAAGGAUUAAUCCACGCAGCAGAAGUCUGGAAAGAAGCCCUCAUCUUCUAGCAGAAAUUUGGAAUGAAGCCCAUAUUAGGGCACUGGUAUGUAUGUAUCCACCUGAGUUGCUUCAUAAUCAAAUCAACGGCAUAUACGCUGGUCUGGAAGAGUGCGUUUGUGAUCGAGUGCCUGUGUACGUGUUUGUUUGGGAGAUUAUUACCUUGUGCUCUUGUGACAAAUAUGACCUCCAUAACUUCCAUCCAGGAGAAAUUAUUCCUGGAAACUUUGGGAACGUAAAGGUGUUAUAAACGAUUUAUGUUGCUCCAAGAACUUUGUAGAUCUCUUGGACAUUAAUCCAUUCAUUCAUCACGUGUACAUGGAUUUCUGUGUCCGACAGUGGUGGCCUGCUCGAUCUAAAGACCAGCCCGGCCAGGCUUGGAACGGCCGAGCCGGCUUUCACCACCCCUAUGAUGGGCCGCCCCUUAGUUGUGGUAGGCGCACAUUUCGGAAGCAUUAGAUUGCUUGCAAAGUAUGACAGAUUCGGGAGAACUUUAUUGGUGCAGUCUAUUGGUGAUGCCAUUUCCCCUCUCGCUUGAUAGUUCUGAUAAGUUUUAUAUUCGGACGUUACAACGAUAGCAUGUGGUGGAUAUAUACCACAUUCUAUGUUCUACAAUAAGAAGCACUCCAUGACUACAUUCUUUGUAAGAUGAUGCUUUGAAUCGAGGAAUUAAG